GAGAAUGCUGCGUGCGCAAUGUCGUCUGCACGUCAACUAGCAGAAAUCUCAAUUGUUUAUACUAAUAAAUUAAUAAAAUUUCUUAAGUUAAACUUACAUUUACAAUAAAAAUCCUUUGGAACAUUAAAAAAAACACAGAAAAUAAAAAGAAAUUUUAUAUCUUACAAAAAACGAGGUACUAAGGAUCAGGAAUAAGGAAGAUGGACAUCUUUGGGAAAAACUACCUUGGCGGCUUCAAACGGAGCGAGACCAAUGUCAGCGAAAAAUUCUGCCGAU